AUUGUAUUUCAAUAAAUUUGGUAAAAUGUUUAAAACAUAAAACACAUUUCCACUUUGUCAUUAUUAUAUUGUGAUGUCAUUAUGGGGUAUUGUGAUGUCAUUAUUAUAUUGUGAUGUCAUUAUUAUAUUGUGAUGUCAUUGAGGGGUUAUUGUGAUGUCAUUAUGGGGUAUUGUGAUGUCAUUAUGGGGUAUUGUGAUAUCAUUAUGGGGUAUUGUGAUGUCAUUAUGGGAUAUUGUGAUGCCAUUAUGGGAUAUUGUGAUGUCAUUAUGGGGUACUGUGAUAUCAUUAUGGGAUAUUGUGAUGUCAUUAUGGGGUACUGUGAUAUCAUUAUGGGAUAUUGUGAUGUCAUUAUGGGGUACUGUGAUAUCAUUAUGGGAUAUUGUGAUGUCAUUAUGGGGUACUGUGAUAUCAUUAUGGGAUAUUGUGAUAUCAUUAUGGGGUACUGUGAUAUCAUUAUGGGAUAUUGUGAUGUCAUUAUGGGGUACUGUGAUAUCAUUAUGGGAUAUUGUGAUAUCAUUAUGGGAUAUUGUGAUGUCAUUGUGGGGUACUGUGAUAUCAUUAUGGGAUAUUGUGAUGUCAUUAUGGGGUAUUGUGAUGUCAUUAUGGGGUAUUGUGAUGUCAUUAUGGGGUAUUGUGAUGUCAUUAUGGGGUAUUGUGAUAACAUUAUGGGGUAUUGUGAUGUCAUUGUGGGGUACUGUGAUAUCAUUAUGGGGUAUUGUGAUAUCAUUGUGGGGUACUGUGAUGUCAUUAUGGGGUAUUGUGUGUAGAUGGGUGAGAAUUUAUUUUAAUUGAAUCCACCUUAAAUGCAGGGUGUAACACAACAACGUGAUUUCUGAAGCCAAUGUAGUCAACUAUAGUCAUUUUCUAUACCACAAUAUCUAUAGUCAGUUACAGGAGAUUUCUAUAUCACAAUAUCUAUAGAGACAUGCUUUAUCAUACACAUGAGCAGUCUCUAUAGCAACAACAGAUAUUCAUGAGGCUGGAAUAGAAAGAAUUAGGUUGAAUUCAUGAUUUUAAUUUCCAUGGACCCCGACCUCAGUGAUGAGCAUCAAUUAAUGAGCCAACGUUCCCAACGGUAGACUAAUGUGUCCAUUAAAGGAGGUCUUUGACCAGGGAGUCCGUUCUACAGCAUCUAACUCUCAGACAAAUGUGUCCAUUAAAGGAGGUCUUUGACCAGGGAGUCCGUUCUACAGCAUCUAACUCUCAGACAAAUGUGUCCAUUAAAGGAGGUCUUUGACCAGAAGUCCGUUCUACAGAAUCUAACUCUCAGACAAAUGUGGCCUUAAACCUGCUUCUGUCCGCCGCGCCUUGUCUCUCUCCUGAUAGGCUCCUGCCGAUCUGUCUCUCUGCCGAUUGGCUCCUGCCGAUCUGUCUCUCUCCCGAUAGGCUCCUGCCAAUCCAUCUCUGCUCUGGUUGUCUCUUAGCGCUGACCAAUGACGGGAGUUCUGACGUCUGGUACACGCCCGUCCUCACCCUGCCGCCACGGCAGAGUUCCGAGGCCACGCCCUCACGGUUCUGUCCCAGCUUGGAAUCUCGGAGGUCCCGGAACCUCCCGGAAUCUUCAGGUGUGGAGUUGGUUUCAACCCGAUCCACAUCUAGCCUGGCUCGGUUGGGGCGCGAGGGCGAUUUGGAUUUACGAGAGCGAGGAGGAGCAGGAGCAGCAGGAGGGAGUUUCGAGAGAGGUGGUGGCGCCCUCUUCUGGUGAGAUUUGAAACGGCCUCCUCUGUCCCUCUCUCUCCUCUGGUCUCCGUCUCUCCUGUCUUGGCCUGAAGGGUGAAGGGUGAAGGGUGAAGGGACAUGGUGCUUUUAACCGUUGAUGCAAACACACAAAAAACACCACACACAUGAAAG
ensembl:lncRNA